rnacentral:lncRNA from 1 species
UUUUUUUUUUUUAAUGCUUUUGCUGAGUCUACAUUUGACAUUAAUGAUAACCCAUUGUUAUUUAGGGUAUUACUGGGGAGUGGAGUUUGCAGACAUAUUUCAAUAGUGCUUCGACCCCUCAGGCCACCGUGACUGUUGCAUUUCUCUCUGUGUUCAGUUUUUACAACUCUCUAUUGUUCAUUAGGGUAAGAAUUUAUAAGCCUGACACCUUGGCCAGGGAAAGGCGCAUCACUGUUUCUGAGUUAGGGCCCUUCUGGGAGGGUGGAGUGUGGGGCAGAGUGCUUAGUGGAUGUAGCAGGCGGGAAUGCAUGUUAUUUGUAGUCAGGCCAUAUUACUACCAAAGUAUAGUCUUUUCUGCAGAUGCAGAUAGUACCCCAGGGUAGAAGAAGCAGACUGUCUUAAGUCAGAGAAGAUAUGGUUUCUGCCAGGUGCUGGGUCCACCCAGCUGUGUGACCUUGGGCAAGUCACUUCCCUUCUCUGGGCUACCAUCUUGCCCUGAACAAAAUAAGAGGGCUCUUUUAUAUCAUCCUGUCCCAUUGAACCUUCUCCAUGAAAUGCUGGCGCAGCACAAGAUGUUCUAAGAAAAAGGAGUUCUGGGAUCAAUUAACUUGAGAAACGUCACAUUCAGGUUAAAUUGGCUUUAUUAUAUUACCAACAGUUUCCCAGAGGCUGGGAUAUACUAUUUUCUCACCAUUACUCUGCAACAAAUGAUGUAGCAUUUUCCAGACUUUUUUCCUCCCCUUUGAUAAUGAAGGAAUCUGAUCUUCUAUCUAAGAACAACUUUUAACAUCCACAGGAUAUAGCAUUUUCUUGGAACACAGUUUUGGAAACCCUGGGUCAGAGGAUGUGUAAAUGUUCCUUGGUGCUUUCCUUUGUACAGCAGAAAGCCCUGUUCCUUACCUCAGUGCCUGCCCUUGUCUCACUAAAUUCUAUUUUUCUGGUACCAUCCUGGAUCUAUUCCCUUCUCUCCAUUUCCACUAGUCCUCCUUAAUCCAAGCACCAUUCCUUCUUCCCUCCCUUCCCCUGCCUUCUCCCUCUCCCUUCACCUCCCCUCUCCCUCAUCUUUCCUUCCACCUCCUCUUGUCUCCCUCCCUCCUAACUACUCUGCAUUCUUCUCCUCUUGAUCUAACUAUAAUCCUGCCCCCACAAAGCAGCUAGAGGUCUUUGGGACACUAGGCCAGGUCCUCGAUGGUUUAAAAUUCUGUAGUAAUAUCCCACUGCACUUGACAUAAAUCCCAAAGCUUUAUAAUGGCCUAUGAGGCUCUACCCAACUCUGGACCUAUCCUACCCCCUGAUCCACUCAUACCAUUUGCACCAUCUCCCUAUCAUGCAGCCACAAUGUUUUGGUGCCUACAGUUUCUUCUGUCCAGUACUGUGCUCAGAUCCUCACAGACCUACUUGUAGGUCUCAGCUCAAGCAUUGUCUCCCUGAGCUUCCCAGCUGAGGUGUCCAAACAUACUCCUCAGGCAAUCUUUUACAUGCCUAGUGUCUUCCUCACAUAAGUGUUGACAUAUUUAUUGCUGGCAUCCUUUUUGAAGGAAUGAAAAUUCCUUAAGAGCAAGGCUCUAGUCUGCCUAGUACAUGGCUGUAUCCCAAGAGUCUAUAAUAGUACUGAACACAAACCAAACACUCAGUAAAUACUUUUCAUGUAAGUGAAUGAAUGAAUGCAUCAAUGGACAUUCCCUCAAUAGACAUGAGUUCCUUGAAAGUAGAAGUAUGUUUUAUACUCUUUCAAGUUCCUACUGUGUGAUCCCAAACCUUUCUUGAGGCUAUUUUCUCUUCUGUAAAAUGGAGAUAAGAAUAGGUAGCUCACAGAUAUAUGAUGAAGAUUAAGCAGAACUUUUAAUAUGUUCUAGGGCAAUACAUUUCUAGGGCAUUGCCCAGCACAAAGUAGCUCUCAAUAAUUGUUUCCUGAAUGAAUGAAUGAAUGAAUGAAUGAAAUUAAUGAUUUUUCUAAUGCCCCAGCCAAGCAGAUAUAUUAGGCACCAUGCACAUGCUCUCAAAGUAUGUCCACAAUCCCUCCAAGUGGUGUUAUGAUCUAAAUCUGAUGCCCUAAAUGGAAAAUAAAAGCCUCUGGAAGAUUGUGGAGUAUGUUUCCCCUGAAGCUCUUAAAAGUAGGGGGAAGCCACUGCUCCGAGGUACAGCCCUGCCUGUGAGAAGAAGGAUGGAUGAAAUGGUGACAUACUUCCAGUUAAGUACCAGUCUCCACCCUACGCAUGAUUAAUACACAUGUUCUCUGUCCUCACAGACCCACAGCCCAAUGGGAAAAACAGGCAAACAUACAAUUACAGUACAGGGGGAUGAGUGCUGUAGAAGGUGACAUCCUGGCACAGAAGAAGGGUACCCAAAACAGAGAUAGGAAGUAAAGAAAUAUUCCUGGGAAAGGGGAACCCUCUUAUACUGGUGGUGGGAAUGCAAACUAGUGUAGCCACCCUGGAGAACAGUAUGGAGUUUGUUUUUGUUGUUGUUUCGUUUUGUUUUCAGUAUGGACUUUCCACAAAAAGUUCACAAUAGAACUACCCUAAGACCCAGCAAUUCCAUUACUGGGUAUUUAUCCAAACAUACAAACAUAAUGAUUUGAAAAAAAAAAUAAUGAUUUAAAGGGAUGCAUGCACCUCAAUAUUUAUAGCAGCAAUGUCCACAACUACCAAAAUAUAUAGAGAACCCAGAUUUCCAUCAAUAGAUGAAUGGAUAAAGAAGAUGUGGCAUAUAUAUACCGUGGAAUGUUAUUCACCCAUCAAAAACAAACCAAAAUCUUACCAUUGGCAAUGAUGUGAAUGGAACUAGAGGGUAUUAUGCUAAGUGAAAUAAGUCAGAGAAAGAAAAAUACCAUAUUAUUUCACUCAUACGUAGAAUUUAAGAAACAAAACAAAUGAGCAUAGGGAAAGGGAAGGCAAAAUAAAAUUAGAUUAAAACAGAGAGGGAGGCAAACCAUAAGAGAUGCUGAACUCUAGGAAACAAAAUGAGGGUUGCUGGAGGGGAGAGGUGUGAGGGAAAGGAUUAUAAUUGGGUGAUGGGCAUUAAGGAAGGCACUUGAAGUAAUAAGCACUGGAUAUUAUAUGGAGCUGAUGAAUCAUUAAAUUCUACCUCUGAAACUUAAAAAGAAACUUUUUAAA